CAUUCCAAACGGGCUCUUAAUAAAAUUCAGAUUUUACGAUAUACUGGCGAAAUUGAGGUUUCGUAUCUCCUUCCUUAUUCAUAUCUUUACUGUUAUUUUUCCUUUAAUUUUGACCAAUCUCGCCCCUGUUAUAGAUCAGAUUUUGUUCCUUUAUGGUGUAUUUUUUUCAAAGAUUGUGUUUUGGUGCGUCUCUGUGGUUGUAUUAUUCUUCAGAUUAAAGAAUACCUUGGUGGGUUUUGAGGGAAUUUUAAAAAUAGACCUUUUAUUGUUGAACAGCCUGGCUAUAAACAUCAAGAUUGUAUUUUUUUGUGUGUUGUGGGGUUGAAUUUGAUUUAGAUCACAGAUGGGAUGGGUAGCUUUUGUGGUUGUUGGAUAUAUUUUUUGUUUUUGAGUGGAAGAACUCAGCAAGAGUAAUCAAAGAUUGUAUUUUGGUUUUGUGGGGUUUGAGGAAACUUGAAAGUUGGUUUUUGUUUGUGGGGAAGAUUGAUUGACCUUUGGUGUGUUCUGAAGUUGAUUUUUGAUUCUGAUGAAAGAGUACUUUUGUGGGUCUUGAGGGUCGGGUGUUUGUUAAUGAGGAAGGGAAUAAGCAACAGUAUAUCAAAGAUUGUACUUUUGGUGUGUAUUGAAGUUCAGGUUGAAAAAAACAUACUUUUAGUGGAUUUGAGGGAAUCGAAACGUUGUUAGUUGUGUGUUGGUGGGGAAAGUUAAGCUACAGUCAUCCAAGAUUGUUCUUUUGGUGUGUUUUUUGAAGUUUAGAUUGGAAAGAAACAUACUUCUUGUGGAUUUGAAGGAGUCGAAACAUUGUUGGUUGUGUGUUGGUGGGGAAAGUUAAGCUACAGUCAUCAAAGAUUGUUCUUUUGGUGUGUUCUGAAGUUCAGAUUGGAAAGAAACAUACUUCUUGUGGAUUUGAAGGAGUCGAAACUUUGUUGGUUGUGUGUUGGUGGGGAAAGUUAAGCUACAGUCAUCAAAGAUUGUUCUUGUGGCGUGUUUUGAAGUUCAGAUUGAAAAGAAACAUACUACUUGUGGAUUUGAAGGAGUCGAAACAUUGUUGGUUGUGUGUUGGUGGGGAAAGUUAAGCUACUGUAAUCAAAGAUUGUUCUUUUGAAGUUCUAAUUGAAAAGAAACAUACUUCUUGUUGAUUUGAAGGAGUCGAGACAUUGUUGGUUGUGUGUUGGUGGGAAAUUUAAGCUACAGUAAUCAAAGAUUGUACUUUUGUGUGUUUUGAAGUUCAGAUUAAAAAAAAAAGACAUACUUCUUGUGGAUUUGAGGAAAUCAAAAGGUUGUUUGUUGUGUGUUGGUGGGGCAAAGUUAAGCAUCAGUCAUGUUCUUUGGUGCAGUGGUGUGGGAUCCGUGGCUAAUUGUUGCUCAAAUUGGGUGUAUUCAAUGCUUAUACUAUUUGAUAUUAGGGAUAUUCUUGGAAAUUCUUGUAGGGACUCGUGUUUCUCGAAGGAGUCUUGUCUAUUUCUUUGAUUACGCCACUGUUACUGUUUCAACUGUCACCGGAUGGUGCGUCAUUGGUUCCUUUCUUCUCAGUUCACUUGCAGGAGCUGGCAUUUUACUCUAUUUGAUUGAGAGGGCAAAGAAGUGCCUAGAUUUUUCUGCAACACUCUACAUCAUCCAUCUUUUUAUAUGCAUUGUCUAUGGUGGUUGGCCUUCCUCAUUAACAUGGUGGAUUGUGAAUGUUACUGGGCUUGGUGUGAUGGCAUUGUUAGGUGAAUAUUUGUGUAUAAAACGUGAAUUACGAGAAAUUCCCAUUCCAAGAUACCGAUCAAGUAAUGAACAAAAAUUAGAGCAGUAAUUGGAGUUGCAAAUUUGUCAUUAUUACCACAAGCAUGACAAAAAUGGAAGUCAGGGAGAGGGAGUCAGAAUCUCAAGAAACUGAUGGGAGUUAAUGGGAUGAAAGUGCAGAAUAUUGUUCAGAGACCUCGAGCGUCAUGGAGAUUAAGUUUCAAUGGAUAAAGAGGGAUCCCUAGAUACCAUGUCGCCGUGGGAGAGUUUAAAAUGAGUGUUUGACUAAGUAGAUGUUCAACAGCAAACAACAUUUUUCCUUUAGUCAUGCAGCCGGUGGCUUCUUUGACUCCUACACUAUUUUGAGAAGAUUUAAAGCGUCUCUAUGCAAUAUAUUUCUCUUGCCUGUGGCAAUGACAUACUGGGGACUGCUCGGUAAUUGCCAAAUCCACAGAGAAAACAAGCUAAGCAGCUGAUUUAUUAGGUGAUUUCUUUUCAAUCUGAGGAAAGUUAGAAAGAAAGGAUAGCAACUUUAAUUUGGAUGUUCGUUGUUGCCAAGCUACUUGUAUAUUAAGUUAUUUAGUCAUGAUUGAUCAUUUGUCAAGUUGCAAUUUUUUGCAGCCAAUCUUCUGAUCAGAUAGUUAGAAGUACUUUGAUCCUACUUGUUCCUGCUGGGUUGUCUUUCCUUGUGUUUGAACCAGGAUAAUACAAAUGGUUGAAGAAUUUGUUCGAGUUACUAAUAUAUCAGAAAUUCAGAAAAUCUUCCAGGUUCUGAAUAGGAGAAAAAGCUAGUCAAGUUGCUAAAUGUAAAUUUUAUGAAGUUCUAUUCAGAACAUGUAGAACGAAAAGCGUCUUUUUUCAAUGUUUCAAAGUGCAGAAAGAGACAGUAAAAACAUUUCAUCUUCCUUGAUAAUGAAUGAAGGGAAAAAGUUGAAGGUACUUGUUCAAAUCAAGUUUUAGAA